AAUAGAUAGAUAUCUGGCAAUAAUAAAAUACAUCUUGCGAAGGCUGCGAAAGCCCUCUUACACAGCCCUGCUGUCCUUGAUGUACAAUUUGCCAGUCUUUGCAUAUAUCUGCCAAUUAGUGACGGUAUUUUUUUUUGUGCAGGAGAGAGCCACCACUCCUUGAGUCGCCAAUUUCGUUUGGGCCACUCAACUGUAAAUGAUAUUAUCCAUGAAACAUGUCAAGUAAUUUAUGAAGAGCUCAAGAAUGACUUCCUCAAAAGACCAAGCACUGAGGAUGAGUGGAAAGACAUCGUCGCUGGUUUCAAUAGAAACUGGAACUUUCCAAACUGCGUUGGAGCGAUGGAUGGAAAGCAUGUGAUAAUUACCAAGCCAGAAAAUACGGGAACAGUUUACAGAAAUUACAAGAAAAGCUUCAGUAUUAUACUGUUUGCCGUGGUUGAUGCGAACUACAAAUUUUUGUACACGGAUGUUGGUGCGCCAGGGUCGCAGGGACAUACGAGCGUCUGGCAAACGACGCCUCUGCAAGCACAAUUAUCAAACAUGUCGGCUGGUCUUCCGGAACUGGUCAAGGUGGCAAGCUCGCCUGAUGUGUACUUACCACCGGUUUUUGUCGCUGAUGACGCGUUCCCACUUGGAAAAAACCUGAUGAAACCAUUUGGGGAACCUUCCUUAACAGAAGAGAAGAUAAUAUUUAAUUACAGGUUAUCCAGGGCUCGGCGUGUAGUUGAGAGCGCCUUUGGAAUACUUGCGAAUAGGUUUAGAUUUCUGCACACCGUGAUCGACGCUGAGCCAAAACGAAUGACAUCAAUGGUGAAUGCGGCAUGUGUAUUGCACAACUUCCUCGCCAAUGAACUGCACUCAGCUGACUCGUGUGUCGACACAACGCCUACUGCAACUCUGUUCUCUGCACAGCCUCAUUCUCGUGGACGAGUAAGUGCUGUUGGCUCCGCUGUACGUGACAGCCUAUGUGAAUUUUUGAAUGGCAGGGGUGCUGUGUCAUGGCAGUGUAAGUCAGCGCACUUGGAUGCCGAUGUAUACAGAAGGCCGUAAGAUUAUGCUAAGAGAGUGCAAGAUGCACAUGCGUUAUCAUGAAAUAAAGUAGUUGUGAAAUGAAAUGCGGUUUGUUUAGUUGAA